rnacentral:lncRNA from 10 species
CCUGUCAUCCUCCCCGCAGCUCAGGAAAGCCUCCCUGAGUCCAGCCCUUGCUAGAAGGUUAAGUGGUCCUCGCCAGCCUCAAGUUCUUUCCUUCAAAAACCACUUAUCUCACUUGGUCAUCAGUGUGAUUAUUUAAUGUCUCUCCUGCUACCCGUAAGGGACCAUUCGGAGUACAGCAGAGGGGCUGUGCAUAGCAGGACGCCACUGCCACUGAGGGAGUUAACAGAAGCCACAGUCUGGGUCCCCACUCCUGGAUUCUAAAAUUUAACUCUUUACUCUCUGGAAGAAGAGAUAAGAAGCCAUUAACAAUGCAUCACUUUAAUUAAACACUCUAAAAGAAGUGGAGAAAAAAAUCAUGUUAGUAUUGAAAUCCUUUGCCUUUCCAAUUCCACUGGAUAAAAGGGGUCCUUCAGGUCUCAGCCCUCCCAACAGAACCAGUUUUCUCCUCUCAGAAUCAGCUGAGCAAUGACUCUUCGCUGAAACAAGCUGGUGGCUGUUCCCUACUAGGAAGCAGCCAGUUAGUUUGGUAAGGGCUGGAAGGGGCUUGCUUUCCCUGGCACCAUGCCUGAAGGCCACCUAGACCUGUAAGAAGGCAGCCCAUGAAAAUCCCAGCCUGCUGAGAGCUCUGCCAUCCAAGGAGGGUGAUGGGUUUUACCCACCUCAGCCUAAUGACUCCAAACAAACUGGCUGAAGGUGAAAGGGUUGGCAGGGCUGUCUGGGGAGGAAAACCACCCAUCCAGAAGGGUGGGCAUGUCAGUCUUACGAGUGCUGCCACGCAUGGGAAAGGUGUGGGAGCUAUACUCUAGCCUGGUCCACUUCUGUCCCCACAUUCUACCUGGAGGCUUCUCGACCUCACACCAGGGCAUUAAUCUGCUUGGGCACACAGUGAAUCAGAACACAAUGGUUUUAAUACCUGCUUGGCCCCAACUCUGAGAACAGGGACCUGCCACUUGCCCUGAAUGGGCCUCAGUGUCUUCAUGUGUAAAGAGAGGAGGCUGAGGUAGGCUGCUCACAGCACAUUCAAAUGCUCGGAGGGCUUGGGCAGGAAACCUGAGACAGAGAAGCAGCAACAGCAUGCAGCAGAAAUACAGUGAACUGGAGAGGCCAUAUUUUGUCUAAAUGCAUGCAAAAUCAGAUACAUUAAAAUAACCCUAGCCAGGUGUGGUGGCACCUGUAGUCCCAGCUACUCAGGAGGCUGAGGCAUGAGAACUGCUCGAGCCCGGGAGGCAGAGGUUGCAGCAAGCUGAUAUCGUGCCACUGCACUCCAGCCUGGGCUACAGAGUGAAACCCUGUCUCAAACAAAAACAAAAACCCGUGCAGGCCAAACACACCUGAGGGUUAAAUACCAUCUAUAGGCUGUUGGUUAAAAAUAGUUUGGAGACUGCAAAGACAGCUUCUACUUCAUUCUAUAAAUGAUGCUUUGUCUUUAAAGCCUAGCAUGGUACCUAAAAAAUAACAUGGGAGGAAAAUGGGAAGGUGAGGGAAUCCUUCUUUCUGAAAUCCAUAGGCAAACCCACUGAACAAACAGACACUGGUCCCCAGUUACCUAACCCUGCUUGCUUGUGCUGCGCUACCACAGUGUGUGCAAAUCCAGAACGUGGGAAGGUUCUGCCAAGGCAGUGCUGGGUGCUGAGUCACAGCUACUUACGUGACUGAUGUGUGUUCCAGCCAGAUGGGGGGAGCCGGAAGCCAAGCCCAGAUGGCCAUCUUCUUUCCUCUGGGAAUGCUGAUUUCAGGGCUCCUGGCAGCAAGGAAGAGCUCAUCUUGGGUGGCCUUCAAAGGAGGACUCAGAACCCAGGGACCACUGCAUUUCCCAGGCCCUGAGCCCCAGUGUGGGAAUCACAUCCUCCAAACCCACAGUGCCCCUCAAAUUCCUAUUCAGUUCCUAUAAGAUCAGUGCCAGAAGUUCUCUCUGCAAAGGGAAACAAGGUCAAAGUUCCAGAUUCGAUGACCACAUUGGUGUACCCUGCCCAUGCAUCCCCUCAAUUGCAUCCAGCUUGGGCCUGUCUUGAAGACAGAUGGGAAAGAUGGAGAGAAAUGCCUGCUCUAGAUCCUGGCACCCAAACCUCAUGCUGUUCCAGGGACUGUCUCAAAGUGCCACAGACUUGGGACUGGGAGGAUCCUGUGGAGGACACCGAGUCUCCUACCUCAAAUAAAGAGGCUUCAUCUUUCCUCAGGAACCCUCAGCAGAGGUGAUGCACAGUUCUCCCAGAAGUCUAGCCCAAAUCACUCUCCUUGCUGCAAGUUCUGCCCACUCUCUUUUCCAUCCUUCAAGUGGACAGAAUGAACUGGAUCCAACAUGACAAAUCUUCACACAUGAAGCUACAGAAGGCUUUAUCCACUAAAACAAUUCCGCUGUGGAUUCCCCAUCACAGGGUUUCAGUAUGAGCCAAGGAUGCAUUCAGGAAAUACCAAAGGACAGACAUUUAGAGACACAUAUGCAUGCUGCCCCUGUCCAACCUCAACUGUCCUAAAGGAAUACCCCCAGAAAAAGCCUAAACCAUCAUGGCUAAAUCCGCUGUAAAUAAAGAUAAACCAUUAUUUCCUCCUUCAUACAAGUUCUGGGUCUAUUUAAACAAAGGUCACUCAAGAGGGCUAACUGGCCAAGAAGUCCUGCUGUCCAAUACUCUGCCUUACCAGCCCUUAUAAAGAGUGGGGGAUUAUGCUCUGCCUUUAAGGAAAACUGACACCCACGAGUUCUCUUACCCACCUUUCUCUCUGUGGGUAAGCCCUACUUUUUCAAGUCAAUCAUGAAGCAGACACUCAGAACUAAAGCCAGUGUUUCUAGUCCCUUACUUUACAUUGUACAUUAGCCAAGGCUUCCAGCAGGCGCUGUACAUUAGCCAGCAAACAGGUAGCAUACACACAACAUGCAUGCUGGGCAAGGCUCAGGGCAUCUCUUACAAAUGUGUUGGAAAAAUUUCAAAAACCCUACACUGGGCCUCAUCUCUAAGUGAGCUGCACUCAGCAGAAGCAUGCCUGUGUGCAUAGGCAUGAGGUGCCAUACAGAUGUGUCACAGUGGUUUGAUGCAUCACAUAUUCCAGAAGCUUCCAAAUACAGGAAACCUCUCCAAGAACACAUGGUGAGUGGCUGGCUUCCCAGCCAAAAAGUGCAAGCCAGUUCUCACAAGAGCUCCAAGAAGUCUGAAGAAUCAGAGAGUUGGAGAACCUGGACAUGCUGAGGUUCCGUUUCCCAUUCAACACAUAGAAAAGGCAUCUCUAGGCCCUCUAAGGCCUUCAGAAAUUAAGGAAACUGCCAAAGACUCCACUCCCCUACUCCUGUCCCUGCCCCACUAGUCAGAACCCAGAGAAAUAACAGCUGAAGUCAGAGGACCUAGAUGGGAGACCCACGAGAAGCGGCUACAAGCAGUCAGAUCUUGGCAGGAUUGACUCUCAGGUUCAGUUUUACCAACGACAAGGAUAAGACCACCUACCCUCUCAGGGUUGUGUGAGGACCAAAUGAGCCAGCAAGUAUGAAAAGAACUAUGUGAGCUGAUACGAUGGUUAUUACUCCAUUCCUCUCCUGCCUGAGUCCUAGCCCAGAUCGCUGUUUGCUAUUCCAUACUGGCAGUGGGGUGGCACUCAGCUAUUAUUAAUCCCAGGUAAACAUCCCACAAAGCGGCAAGCAGAUAGUGUCUUGGAGAAAGGUAGCUAUUUUAAAACUCUACAUUCUGCUUAGCAGAUUGCACAAUGUGCCCCCUCAGCCCCAGGGGCUCCUACCCACACAGCCUUGCAGAAGUGGUGUACGUCUGGGACUAACGCUGCCAUGGAGAAGCUAGGCCAGAGUCCCAGCCACUCCUAGCCCCCAUCUGGCUGGGCCUGGGACCUUCGGCUUUCCUGCAUGUGUUUUAUUUUGCUAUCUUUUUAAGAGUGACUCAAGACUAAAAAGCCAAAAUGGAACCAGUGGCUCUGAGAUAUUUUUGUUUAUUUUUUAUUUUUUUCAUUGUUAUUUUUUAAAAUUAAAUUUAAUUUUUUAGUCGAGGGCCUCAAAAAAUACAUGAAAAGAGAAGGCUAAAUAUAAAGGAAAACUUCCUGACAGCAAGGGGCACAGACCCUCCCUCAAACCACAGCUGCAUUCUCUCUCCAGGGUUUAGGGCCAGACAGGACGGAGCAUCUUUCCUAGAGCAGGGUCCCUUGGGUCAGCCCCUUGCAGGACAGCAGGCACCCCCAGCAGCUCCCACAUAAACCCAUCUCCAACAAGCCUCCCGGGGGAAGCGCGUAGCCAUGUCCCCUACCACCCGGUGGAUCCUCAUCAACACCUUCACGAAACCUCCAGCCCUCUGCUUCCACUUCUGGGAGGUCUUUAAAAACUACCUCCUCCCACCCACCCACCCUAAUUCCAACAGUACCACUUCAGCCGCUCUGAGACAGGUCAUCAAGAUCCCUCCCCUUCUCUUGUGGAAACCUGGGCCUAGUUUUCCUCAUCUUGAAUUACUGGCUAAGGAACAUCUCCAUGAACAUUCAGGGAGGCCCCAGGAUACAGCUGGAACCUCCAAAGAGAUUCUGGUUCCAUCCCCUCAUUUCAUAGAUAAUGAAACUGGAGCUGAAAGGAGGAAAGUGAGUGAGUUUUUACCAACAAGAGCUAGGACCAGAAUCAGGGUCGGCUGACUCAACACAGAGCAACACAAACCCCACUUUCCUGACCCUCCUCCUCCCUGAGCACCCCCAACUACACUACCUCAUCCCUGUGCAACUUCAGACCCCUGGCAGCAGAUGGCAGUGUGUGCAGUCCGGCGGGUCAGCUGUCCAUGAUCAGCCAAAGAGCCAACAAUCACAUGGCCUGACUCCGCAGGUCCGCUGCCUCUUCCACCAAGUAAACAAGUCCCGAGCCCUGGAGCUACAUGCGCUGAACACAUGACACAUGCCUGCCCUGUCCCCAGCACCACCAACCUGCCUCCGCCUCUCAAGACACAGCUCAACCAAGCAUCUGGCACAGGUCACUUCUCUAUGCCUGGUGCCCAUCCCUUCCCUAUCGUGAGACGAUUAGCUCUGGGAACGGCUCGUUCUGGCAGGACAGGCUGAGUUCAGAACCAGCCUCCUGCAGGAACAUUUGACCAAUGGCUCGGCAAAGACCUAACCUGCACGUUUCCCUGUGCUGCAUGGACAAGUGUGGGGCACAGUGACCAGGCUGAGGAAAGAAGUCAGCUGGUGCCUGGGAGGGUGUGAGGCAGAAGGCCAACAGCAACCAUGGCAGACAGGAGAGAACCAGUCUGCCGGAGACCAAAGGCUUGACAUCUACUCCACCUUGAUCCCUGACUCACGACAAGUUCCUGUAAGCCAUGGGGACCUUGGAUGGAUUUCCCAAGUUAUUAGGAAAAAAGAGGGGGUUAGUUUGUGUCAGUCCUAACUCCCUGAAGGAAAGCUCAAUUGAUGUGGCUUCAGAUGGCUGAGGUCCUAAGUCUCUAGAACCCUCUGACCAUCAUCUGAAUUCUCCUCCUUAUGUGUGUGGGGGGUCCCCCUUUUCAUCCCCACACAAUCUCCAUAUAUGUCUACCCUGUACAUUUUUAAAUUCUUUUUAAAAAUCAUUAUUAGCGGUGUCUCUCCACACUAGAAUGUAUGCCCCAUGAAAGUGGAAAGUUGGCUUUGUCAAGUUCUGUAUCUCUAGCGCCUGGCACAGUCCCUGGCACAUAGCAGAGGCUCCGUACACAGCAGCAGACGCCAUGUACUGGCCUUACUCAGCUCUGCCUGUCCAUGGCUACCAAAGGGCAUUUGGGUCUGCCCUGCCUCCCCCUAAAGGAAUGCGGCACAACCGUCCCCAGUGACUGGAAAGUUCCUUCGGGUGUCUGCCUUUUCACUCUGGUUCACAUCAGUCCUCUGAGAAUCUUAGUUCACAAAAAUGUCUGACUUCAGCCCAAAAGAGUAAAGAUAACGUAGAGGCUUUGGAAUAAGAAGUGCAUGCAUUUAAAUCUCAACAACCUCACUUACCAAAUGCAUAACCUUGGGUUAAGUCACUUAAUCUGUUUCUUUAACUAUAAAAGGGAAGUGAUCCCUAUGUCAUAUGGUUGUUCUGAGGAUGAAAUCAGAUAAGGAGAGGAGAGCCCUUUAAAAAGGUCAGUUUCCCUUGGACCAACAACUCUGAUGCCCAUCUCAUACCUUCAUGCCUCAUUAUAGACCCUGAUCGGGGCACCAUCCUACCUUCAGUACCAGGCACUCAGACGCAAAUCCUUCACAGGAGAUGCACACAUCCAUCCUGGGCCAUGACAGGCAGCCCUGGCUGAGCACUGGACUUGUCCUCCCACACCCUCCUGGACUUGCUCCUGUGAUCUAACCACACAUACCACCUCCCCACGUG